rnacentral:lncRNA from 1 species
CCUUGACCACAAAGUGAUGAUGUGGAGGAUAAUAGUGAGUAGGUGGUGGUGGGGAAGUGUAGUAAUAUGGAGGAGGAGAUGAUUUCUUUGGUGGUGGUGGUGAAGUGUAGUAAUAUGGUGAUGGAGGAGAUUUCUUGGGUGGUGGAGGAGAGCUAUAGUAGUAUGGUGGAGGUGGUGACUUAACUGGUGGUGGUGGAGAAGUGUAGUGAUAUGGUGGAGGAGGUGAUUUCUUGGGUGGUGGAGGAGAGUUGUAGUAGUAUGGUGGAGGAGGUGACUUAACCGGCGGUGGUGGAGAAGUGUAGUGAUAUGGUGGAGGAGGUGAUUUCUUGGGUGGUGGAGGAGAGUUGUAGUAGUAUGGUGGAGGAGGUGACUUAACCGGCGGUGAUGGAUAAGUGUAGUAGUAGUAUGGUGGAGGAGGUGACUUAACCGGCGGUGAUGGAUAAGUGUAGUGAUAUGGUGGAGGAGGUGAUUUCUUGGGUGGUGGAGGAGAGCUAUAGUAGUAUGGUGGAGGAGGUGACUUAACCGGCGGUGGUGGAGAAGUGUAGUGAUACGGUGGAGGAGGUGAUUUCUUUGGUGGUGGAGGAGAGCUAUAGUAGUAUGGUGGGGGAGGUGACUUAGCCGGCGGUGGUGGAGAGUUGUAGUAGUAAGGUAGAGGAGGAGACUUCUUUGGGGGUGGUGGAGAGGUGUAGUGAUACGGUGGAGGGGGUGAUUUCUUUGGUGGUGGUGGCGAGGAGUAAUAGUAUGGUGGAGGAGGUGACUUCUUGGGUGGGGGUGGAGAGCUGUAGUGGUAAGGUGGAGGUGGUGACGACUUAGGGGGAGGUGGAGAUUUAUAGUAGUAAGGUGGUGGAGGUGAUGGUGAUGGUGGUGGAGGAGAUUUAUAGUAGUAUGGUGGCGGUGGUGAAGGUGAUGGUGGAGGAGGAGACUUGUAGUAAUACACUGGAGGUGGUGACGGUGAUG